UUGUCGUUUGCAAAGAAGCAUUGGGGACUUUAAAUGACACUUCUCUAUAGUGUCCCCCCCCCCCCAAGUGGAAGUUUCUUUUAAGGAAAGUCACUUCCGCUCGCCAUCAAAACGAGCCUCCUCAAAGGAAUGCUAAUAUUUUCAUAGUGAGCUGGGGAGGGGACGGAGAGGCGUGCGGUGGGUGGAUCCGGAAUCGAUUCUUGCUUACAUCAUGGGCGUAAAUGAAGCGUGUCUCCAUUGAAGUCGCAGGAGUGUUAAGGCAGCAUCACGGACUGGACAGACAAAAAGGGAGCAGACUUGGGGACCAGUUCUACAAAGAAGCCAUAGAACACUGUCGCAGCUACAAUUCCAGGCUGUGUGCUGAACGCAGCGUCCGUCUUCCCUUUCUGGACUCUCAGACUGGAGCAGCUCAGAACAACUGUUACAUUUGGAUGGAAAAGAGGCAUCGAGGACCAGGACUAGCCCCUGGUCAGCUGUAUACAUAUCCAGCUCGUUGCUGGCGCAAAAAGAGACGUUUGCAUCCUCCUGAAGACUCCCGGUUGAAGUUGCUGGAGAUUAAACCUGAAGUUGACGUGCCUCUGAAGAAAGAUGGUUUUACAUCAGAGGGGACCACACUGGAAGCUCUGUUACGUGGAGAAGGGCUUGAAAAAAAGAUAGAUACUAAAGAGGAGGACACUCUACAGGAAAUUCAGAGGGUUUUGGAAAAUGAUGAAAAUGCAGAUGAAGUGAACGAGGAGGAAGAAAUGGAAGAAGAUAUUCCAAAACGGAAGAACAGGCCCAGAGGACGGGCUCGAGGCUCAGGAGGUGGCAGGCGAAGGAAUGAUGUUUCUUCCAUGGAUGACCAUGAUAAACCUUACGUUUGUGACAUCUGUGGCAAGCGCUAUAAGAACAGACCUGGUCUGAGCUACCAUUAUGCUCACACUCACCUUGCUAGUGAGGAGGGGGAUGAUGCUCAGGAGCAGGAGACACGUUCCCCACCUGUCCACAGAAAUGAAAACCAUAAACCCCAGAAAGGACCAGAUGGGAUCAUCAUUUCCAAUAACUACUGUGAUUUCUGUCUCGGAGGAUCUAAUAUGAAUAAAAAAAGUGGCCGACCAGAAGAACUUGUCUCAUGUUCAGAUUGUGGGCGCUCUGCUCAUUUGGGAAGAGAAAGCAGGAAGGAAGAAGCGGUGGCGGCACACACCACGGAGGACUUGUUCGGUUCCACAUCUGAAAGCGACACCUCCACUUUUCAUGGCUUUGACGAGGAUGAUUCUGAAGAGCCUCUCUCAAACCAGAGCAGCAGCUCCCCUUCAGCAAACAAAAAGGGCGGCUGCUAAAAUAACGAAUCCCUUACAAACUCUAAGAGCAACAUCCUGCCCUUUUUUGCUACUUUUUCUCUUGUCAUUCUUUUUGCAUUUUUAAUUAGAUCAAUUUUAACCUUUGGGUAUGUACAGUGGAAGCACAACAGGCUAAAACUUGAGCAGAUUCUUUGGAAAUAAAGUUUGGGUUAUUUGAUUUUUUAAUUAUUAUUAUAUUGUUCUCCUUCCUCCCCCUGCCCCACCCCUUUUUGUCUUUGGAAAUCUGCGGUGGAUGUCCUAAAAAAGUACAGGAGAGCUAAUUUUCUCAGCUAUUAAUAUAUACAUCUCAACUAUGAAAAAUACAGAAUGGUUAAAUGCCAGAAAUUCACCUCAAAUAGUGUUUUGAAAUAUUUAUUUAUAUAUUCUAUAUAUAAGAAAAAAGACCUUUGAAAUUAAGAAAAGGGGCAAGAAAAAAAGCAAUGAAGUCUACUUGUUAAUCUGACCAUUCAGAAAGUCAACCUGUUAUGGGAUGGAUUGUUCCAGAUACAAAGGAUACCCUUGUCAGUGUGACUUUUGCACUGUGAAAAGUUUGCAUUUACUGUAGCACACUGGAGUUUGUGACUUCCCAUUUUGUACUCCUGCUAUCCUCACAUUUAACAGUUUGAAAAAAGCAACAAAGACCAUAAAACUGCGGAAUUUCCUGCUUCCUUCCCGUGGACGUAUUUUUACUCAUUAAAGAAUGCCUCAUCUCUCUUACCUUGGCAUCUUUUUACUAGGCACUGUUUUUCUUUUCCCUGGUCCCCGUCUUCCUCACCGACAUUGUGGAAAGGAGAUUCCAAGCGCAGGAUGGAAUAUAACUGUCAAGUCACAGAGUCUGCAAAGAUGAAACAAAGGCUGUGAAUCUUUGAAGAAAUGAAAAGAAAAAAAUACCUCGUUUUUCUUUUAUUUUACUUAAGAAACAAACCCUUUUAGUCUUAUUUUUGAUAGCUCUUCUUGAAAUAAACCAAAGCAAUACUCACUAAUCUUCAAUGGGCAAUAGAGAAGACAGAAACCCUCUCUCAUUUGCUGUUCUACCAGCAAUGAGUUGAGCCACAGAAUCAAAAAGUUACCUUGCUUGUGCUCACUUGGAUUCCGAAUCCAUCAUCCUUCAAGAAAAUUGUUAAAGAAGCCAACUGAGAGUAACAGAUGCUUUGAUCUUCCUCUCAUUGCCCGAUCUUUUCAUACCUGUGUUUGAUCCAGCACAGAAGCCUGGACUGUGGAACGCCUGCUGGCACUUGCUCAGAGAAGUCUUGGGGAUUCCCUAAGCUUGUGCAAUACAAAGAAAAUGCUUACCUUAUUUGAGAUUAUCCUUUUUAAAAAUGUGUGCGCGUGCAUAUAUGCGCGUGUGUCUAUAAAGCCAGGUCAAACUGGAACUGAUCUAUAGAAGACUGAAAACAGCAAAAAAAGACGUUAUUUUAUUUAUUUCAAUAUUUAAGAGAGAAAAGUAGUGCUAAUGUUGCACAGUAUUUUUGUUUAAAAUGCAUUUUACUUCAAAAUUUGAAAGCAAUUUUUGCAGAGAGAGGACUUUUUCAAAUGCUUAAUGUAAGAUAAAGACUAUUUACUCUUAGGAAAAUAAUUUUAAAGUUAUGAAAAUAAAGAUAAAUUCUGCUCUCUCUUACUUUAAAGAUGCCAUUCGUACACAUGCUGGGUGUUUUUAUUUUUUCAAAGUGGAUUCGGUAAGUGAAAAAUGGUUUUAGCUCAUUUUUGUGAAUGUCUACUAACGUUUCCAAUUUUAAUGUACUGUACUGGGCAAAAACAAAACAAAAGAACAAAACAGUUUGAAAAAGAAAUGCUGAAUUCUGAGCAGAUUACAAGGACUAUACGUGCAGGCUGCUAGGAAUACAGAAUACAGACAAAGUUUAGGCAUUAGUUAAAAGGUAAAGGUGUGCAAGCUUCGGGUCAUUACUGACUCAUGGGGUGAUGUUACAUUAUGACAUUUACUAGGCAGAUGUUGUUUACGGAGUGGUUUGCCAUUGCCUUCUCCGGUUGUCUACACUUUACCCCCAGCAAGCUGGGUGUUCAUUUCACUGCCCUCGUAAGGUUGGAAUGCUGAGUCAACCUUGAGCUGGCUACCUGAAACCACUUCCAUGAGGAUCAAACUCAGGUCAUGAGUAGUGCUUAGACUAAAGUACUUCAGUUUACCACUCUGCGCCUUGGGACUUUUUGUGUGACUGGAGUUAGGUGCUUUACAGCACAUUCUGGGGUGAGGGGAAUGCUUCUCUGGAGGCAGCACAGGUUUAUGCCAGCGGAUUUGCCCUCUCCAGAACACUUGUGCUGGCGGAAGGGAAAACCUAUUGGGACACCCAGCUGCGGCACCCAGCUCUCUGCUGGCACGCCCAUGCUGUCCAGAGCUACGCCGGUGUACUGAGGGUGUCCUGGGGGUGGGGCUGAUAUUAGGUGAAUUCCAGAGCCCUCUUGCCACCCAUACACCAUUAGAAAGCUCUUUGGAGUGGGUGGGGCGGAAUCUGCCACUCAACAGCUCUGGAUGGAGCUGUUAAAAUGGAAAGAGUUUCGCAAAACUGUCAUCUUAAGUGGAUAAUUCAUGCUCAUACUAACAGCAGCUUGCAAUAAAAUAAUUCUGACAAGUUAUAAGCAAUACAAAAUAAGUUAUUGGAACAAUGCACUAGGUUGAACAAAAUUCCUGAAAGGGAUUUGUGUGAUUAUCCCAUUCCAGCUGCAACCCUUCAGAAUACCCUGUGUCAUUCACAAAGAGACUCUGACAUUCAGAAAUGGCUUUUUAGGGGCUACAGUAGUAAGAUAGGGAAUGCCCUUUUCCAGGACAAGAACUCUCUGUAGAUAAAUAUAUCUCAUAACUCCCAACUGUUUGCCAAAUGAUCUUUCAAUCAACUCAAUAGAUCGGUAGUAGAGUUGAUUGACAGCAUUUUUGCUGGGCAGAUGGAUACAUCAAAAAUCUUAUUUUUUUUGUCAUAAUUAGCAAAAUUCAUAAGAUGGAUCCCACCACUGUUGUUUAUACACUGUAGAUUCUUAGGACCAGUUUGUGACAAUUGCCAUGGGCAAUUAUUUUUUUAAAAAAUGAUUUAUCAGUGUCCCCCAAUGAAAGAGUUCCAUUGGAAUGGGGAAGAAUAAGAUAAGCAGGAUGCUAGAUUCCUAUGGAUUUAGUAUUUUUCCUGGGGUAAGUUACUCAAUUAGUUCAUUCUGAUGUAAACUUUUGAUGUGAGUAUGUUCACAAGGUGAUGCUAAAAAGUCCAUGGCAUGUAUGGGUAGAAGUCACUUAAAAUCCUUUUCAUAUUUACUUGGAAGUAAGUCCUACAUUAUCACAAUGGGAGUUGUUACCUCAUAAAUAUACAUAGGGUGGCUACUUAGUCCUAUAUACAUUUGGUUAUAAGUAAUGCUCAUUAAAGGUGGUACAAUGUCAUCCACUUAGGAUUCAAACUGGAAGACUUCUUUUCCUCUGAAAUUCGGGGAGCAGCCCUCUGAACUCUGUUGCUGCACAGUCAUCACAUAUUUCAACUGGACUUAAUUGGAAGUCCAAUAUGCUAAAGCUUCAUUAAAACUGUCCAGCAUUGUGCUGUGAAUUUUUCACAUCCAUUUGGAUAAAUUGCAUGCUGGGAUUUGAGACAUCUGAGUGAGAGCCCCUGCACACUGCACACUUUCUUCAAUCAAGUUUUCUUGGAAAUUGGCAGAUUACAAUUAUGCCAUUUUAUCCUCCCUCCCCAAUUAAAUACAAAAUGCAAAUCCAUAGUGAAGAGCUACAUUCUGUACUCAUUUGUUUUGUGUCUGCUCCCAAGUCACCUCUUAUGUGUUUCUGUAAAUAUUGAUUCACCUAGACAUUUUUAAAGAAAAAUAAUUGUGAAAUUGCAAUUGCUGUACAUAGUUUUUAAAAACUCUCGUUGUUUACAAUGCUGUCCUCUAAGCUGAAAAUAAAACUUCCUCCUCUA